rnacentral:rRNA from 1 species
CCAUUAGUUAGUUGGUGAGGUUACGGCUCACCAAGACAACGAUGGCUAGGGGGUCUGAGAGGAUGAUCCCCCACACUGGCACUGAGACGCGGACCAGACUCCUAGCGGGAGGCAGCAGUGAGGAAUAUUGGUCAAUGGACGCAAGUCUGAACCAGCCAUGCCGCGUGCAGGAUGAAUGCCCUAUGGGUUGUAAACUGCUUUUCUACAAGAAGAAACUUCCUGAUGUAUCAGGAACUGACGGUAUUGUAGGAAUAAGCAUCGACUAACUCCGUGCCAGCAGCCGCGGUAAUACGGAGGAUGCAAGCGUUAUCCGGAUUCAUUGGGUUUAAAGGGUGCGUAGGCGGGGUAGUAAGUCAGUGGUGAAAGCCUGCGGCUUAACCGUAGAAUUGCCAUUGAUACUGCUAUUCUUGAGUGCAGUUGAGGUAGGCGGAAUGUGUAAUGUAGCGGUGAAAUGCUUAGAUAUUACACAGAACACCGAUUGCGUAGGCAGCUUACUAAACUGUAACUGACGCUGAGGCACGAAAGCGUGGGGAGCGAACAGGGUUAGAUACCCUGGUAGUCCACGCUGUAAACUAUGAUCACUCGCUGUUGGCGAUACAUUGUCAGCGGCUGAGCGAAAGCAUUAAGUGAUCCACCUGGGGAGUACGGCCGCAAGGUUGAGACUCAAAGGAAUUGACGGGGGCCCGCACAAGCGGUGGAACAUGUGGUUUAAUUCGAUGAUACGCGAGGAACCUUACCUGGGCUUAAAUGCAGAACGACGUACCGGGAAACUGGUACUCCCUUCGGGGCGGACUGCAAGGUGCUGCAUGGUUGUCGUCAGCUCGUGCCGUGAGGUGUCGGGUUAAGUCCCAUAACGAGCGCAACCCUCAUUGUUAGUUGCCAGCGAGUAAUGUCGGGGACUCUAACAAAACUGCCGGUGUAAACCGUGAGGAAGGUGGGGAUGACGUCAAAUCAGCACGGCCCUUAUGUCCAGGGCUACACACGUGUUACAAUGGCCAGUACAAAGGGCAGCUACCACGCGAGUGGAUGCUAAUCUCUAAAGCUGGUCUCAGUUCGGAUUGAAGUCUGCAACUCGACUUCAUGAAGCUGGAAUCGCUAGUAAUCGCGCAUCAGCCAUGGCGCGGUGAUACGUUCCCGGGCAUUGUACACACCGCCCGUCAAGCCAUGGAAGCUUGGGGUACCUGAAGUCCGUAACCGAAAGGAUCGG